rnacentral:rRNA from 1 species
UACGUAGUGUGCAAGCGUUUUCCGGAAUUAUUGGGCGUAAAGAGCUCGUAGGCGGCUUGUCACGUCGGCUGUGAAAACCUGGGGCUCAACCCCGGGCCUGCAGACGAUACGGGCUAGCUAGAAUUCGGUAGGGGAGACUGGAAUUCCUGGUGUAGCGGUGAAAUGCGCAGUUAUCAGGAGGAACACCGAUGGCGAAGGCAGGUCUCUGGGCCGAUAUUGACGCUGAGGAGCGAAAGCGUGGGGAGCGAACAGG